AUUGAACGCUGGCGGCAGGCUUAACACAUGCAAGUCGAGCGGGGUGAUGGUGCUUGCACUAUCACUUAGCGGCGGACGGGUGAGUAAUGCUUAGGAAUCUGCCUAUUAGUGGGGGACAACAUCUCGAAAGGGAUGCUAAUACCGCAAACGUCCUACGGGAGAAAGCAGGGGAUCACUUGUGACCUUGCGCUAAUAGAUGAGCCUAAGUCGGAUUAGCUAGUUGGUGGGGUAAAGGCCUACCAAGGCGACGAUCUGUAGCGGGUCUGAGAGGAUGAUCCGCCACACUGGGACUGAGACACGGCCCAGACUCCUACGGGAGGCAGCAGCGGGGAAUAUUGGACAAUGGGGGGAACCCUGAUCCAGCCAUGCCGCGUGUGUGAAGAAGGCCUUAUGGUUGUAAAGCACUUUAAGCGAGGAGGAGGCUCUUUUGGUUAAUACCCAAGAUGAGUGGACGUUACUCGCAGAAUAAGCACCGGCUAACUCUGUGCCAGCAGCCGCGGUAA
rnacentral:rRNA from 1 species